GCCCCAGCUUGCUGGGGUGGAUGAGUGGCGAACAAGGUGAGUAACACGUGAGUAACCUGCCCAUCAUUCUGGGAUAAGCGCUGGAAACGGCGUCUAAUACUGGAUACGAGCAGCGACCGCAUGGUCAGUUGCUGGAAAGACUGGUUCGGUGAUGGAUGGACUCGCGGCCUAUCAGCUUGUUGGUGAGGUAAUGGCUCACCAAGGCGACGACGGGUAGCCGGCCUGAGAGGGUGACCGGCCACACUGGGACUGAGACACGGCCCAGACUCCUACGGGAGGCAGCAGUGGGGAAUAUUGCACAAUGGGCGCAAGCCUGAUGCAGCAACGCCGCGUGAGGGAUGACGGCCUUCGGGUUGUAAACCUCUUUUAGUAGGGAAGAAGCCUUCGGGUGACGGUACCUGCAGAAAAAGCACCGGCUAACUACGUGCCAGCAGCCGCGGUAAUACGUAGGGUGCAAGCGUUGUCCGGAAUUAUUGGGCGUAAAGAGCUCGUAGGCGGCUUGUCGCGUCUGCUGUGAAAACCCGAGGCUCAACCUCGGGCCUGCAGUGGGUACGGGCAAGCUAGAGUGCGGUAGGGGAGAUUGGAAUUCCUGGUGUAGCGGUGGAAUGCGCAGAUAUCAGGAGGAACACCGAUGGCGAAGGCAGAUCUCUGGGCCGUAACUGACGCUGAGGAGCGAAAGCAUGGGGAGCGAACAGGAUUAGAUACCCUGGUAGUCCAUGCCGUAAACGUUGGGAACUAGAUGUAGGGCCUGUUCCACGGGUUCUGUGUCGUAGCUAACGCAUUAAGUUCCCCGCCUGGGGAGUACGGCCGCAAGGCUAAAACUCAAAGGAAUUGACGGGGGCCCGCACAAGCGGCGGAGCAUGCGGAUUAAUUCGAUGCAACGCGAAGAACCUUACCAAGGCUUGACAUAUGGAAGAACGGGUCAGAAAUGAUUCACUCUUUGGACACUUCUAUACAGGUGGUGCAUGGUUGUCGUCAGCUCGUGUCGUGAGAUGUUCGGUUAAGUCCGGCAACGAGCGCAACCCUCGUCCUAUGUUGCCAGCACGUCAUGGUGGGAACUCAUGGGAUACUGCCGUGGUCAACACGGAAGAAAGGUGGGGAUGACGUCAAAUCAUCAUGCCCCUUAGGUCUUGGGCUUCACCCAUGCUACAAUGGCCGGUACAAUGGGCUGC
rnacentral:rRNA from 1 species